AAAUUGAAGAGUUUGAUCAUGGCUCAGAUUGAACGCUGGCGGCAGGCCUAACACAUGCAAGUCGAACGGUAACAGGAAGCAGCUUGCUGCUUUGCUGACGAGUGGCGGACGGGUGAGUAAUGUCUGGGAAACUGCCUGAUGGAGGGGGAUAACUACUGGAAACGGUGGCUAAUACCGCAUAACGUCGCAAGACCAAAGAGGGGGACCUUCGGGCCUCUUGCCAUCAGAUGUGCCCAGAUGGGAUUAGCUUGUUGGUGAGGUAACGGCUCACCAAGGCGACGAUCCCUAGCUGGUCUGAGAGGAUGACCAGCCA
rnacentral:rRNA from 1 species